UCCGUAGGGUCCGAGCGUUGUCCGGAAUUACUGGGCGUAAAGGGCUCGUCGGCGGCCAACUCAGUCACACGUGAAAUCCCCAGGCUUAACCUGGGAACUGCGUGUGAUACUGGAUGGCUUGAAUUCGGGAGAGGGAUGCAGAAUUCCAGGCGUAGCGGUGAAAUGCGUAGAUAUCUGGAGGAAUACCGGUGGCGAAGGCGGCAUCCUGGACCGACAUUGACGCUGAGGAGCGAAAGCUAGGGGAGCAAACGGG
rnacentral:rRNA from 1 species